rnacentral:rRNA from 1 species
AGUAACGCGUGAGCAAUCUGCCUUUAAGAGGGGGAUAACAGUCGGAAACGGCUGCUAAUACCGCAUAAAGCAUUAAAUUCGCAUGUUUUUUGAUGCCAAAGGAGCAAUCCGCUUUUAGAUGAGCUCGCGUCUGAUUAGCUGGUUGGCGGGGUAACGGCCCACCAAGGCGACGAUCAGUAGCCGGACUGAGAGGUUGAACGGCCACAUUGGGACUGAGACACGGCCCAG